GUGAAUCAUCGAAUUUUUGAACGCAAAUUGCACUCUCUGGUAUUCCGGAGAGUAUGCCUGUUUGAGGGUCAGUUUAAAUAAAAAUCGGUGUGGUUGCUGCCUUUCGUGGUGACGCACCGGAUUUGGGUCGUCUUGCCUUCGGUUAAGUGACCUAAAAUUUUGCAUGAUUUUUUCGAACGUAUUUAAAUAAUUUUACGUAGGUUUUCGUAUUCGAAUACUAGUUUCGUUAUU
rnacentral:misc_RNA from 1 species